rnacentral:rRNA from 1 species
GACGAACGCUGGCGGCGUGCUUAACACAUGCAAGUCGAACGGAAAGGCCCUGCUUUUGUGGGGUGCUCGAGUGGCGAACGGGUGAGUAACACGUGAGUAACCUGCCCUUGACUUUGGGAUAACUUCAGGAAACUGGGGCUAAUACCAGAUAGGAGCUCCUGCUGCAUGGUGGGGGUUGGAAAGUUUCGGCGGUUGGGGAUGGACUCGCGGCUUAUCAGCUUGUUGGUGGGGUAGUGGCUUACCAAGGCUUUGACGGGUAGCCGGCCUGAGAGGGUGACCGGCCACAUUGGGACUGAGAUACGGCCCAGACUCCUGCGGGAGGCAGCAGUGGGGAAUAUUGCACAAUGGGCGGAAGCCUGAUGCAGCAACGCCGCGUGCGGGAUGACGGCCUUCGGGUUGUAAACCGCUUUCGCCUGUGACGAAGCGUGAGUGACGGUAAUGGGUAAAGAAGCACCGGCUAACUACGUG